AACAGCUCAAAUUUGAAAUCUGUCCCUCUUGCGGGGGCCCGAGUUGUAAUUUGUAGAGGGUGUUUCGGGCGCGAUGCCGGUUUAAGUUCCUUGGAACAGGACGUCGCAGAGGGUGAGAAUCCCGUAUGUGACCGGCGAUCAAGCCCGUGUGAAACCCCUUCGACGAGUCGAGUUGUUUGGGAAUGCAGCUCAAAAUGGGUGGUAAAUUUCAUCUAAAGCUAAAUACCGGCCAGAGACCGAUAGCGCACAAGUAGAGUGAUCGAAAGAUGAAAAGCACUUUGGAAAGAGAGUUAAACAGUACGUGAAAUUGUUGAAAGGGAAGCGCUUGCGAUCAGACUUGCUCGCGGGUGAUCAAUCGCUAUUCGUAGCGGUGCACUCGCCCGCGAUCAGGCCAGCAUCGGUUUGGGCGGUGGGAUAAAUGACCCCGAAUGUAGCUUCUUUCGGGAGUGUAUAGCCUUGGGUCGCAAUGCCGCCAGCCCGGACCGAGACCGCGCUUCGCUAGGAUGCUGGCGUAAUGGUCGCAAGCGACCCGUCUUGAAACACGGACCAAGGAGUCUAACAUCUAUGCGAGUGUUUGGGUGUCAAACCCAGGCGCGGAAUGAAAGUGAACGGAGGUGGGAGCCCGUGAAACGGCGCACCAUCGACCGAUCCAGAUGUCUUCGGAUGGAUUUGAGUAGGAGCAUAGCUGUUGGGACCCGAAAGAUGGUGAACUAUGCCUGGAUAGGGUGAAGCCAGAGGAAACUCUGGUGGAGGCUCGCAGCGGUUCUGACGUGCAAAUCGAUCGUCGAAUCUGGGUAUAGGGGCGAAAGACUAAUCGAACCAUCU
rnacentral:rRNA from 1 species